rnacentral:tRNA from 1 species
GCAUCUGUAGCCAAGUGGUUGAAGGCAUCGGACUCAUAAUCCGACUCUAGAAGACAUCGUUGGUUCAAAUCCAUCCGGAUGCA